GAGCAGAUUUUCAGAUGUGCUCGGAUUGC
rnacentral:piRNA from 1 species